AGGAAGUGUUGCUGCAUGCCGAACGGCCUAGAGACGUUUGUUGGGUGUUGGAAAUACAUACUGUAUAUGGAUAUGGUUGGAGAUACAUACUCCAUAUGGACGUGGGGUUGGACUGCGCUGCUGCCGACGUGUUCAGGGGAUACCUGCUGUGGAAAAGUGUGAUGGCGGCCAUAGAAAAAUAGAAAACUUAUUGUGAUGUCAGACGUCAGCACUUCCUUCUUCACUCCCAACCUGUGAUGCUCGCCAAAUGUUCAGUUUUGGACCUGGCGUCAGUGUGACCACAACCACAGCAGAUGUGUGUACACAUUCCUGACAUACAAGGCGUACAGUGUGACGUCAUUCAUAUGCGUGCGUCCAGUGUGACAUCAUUUCCUGCGUGCGGAGAUGAGGAGAAGCUUGAUUUAAAGGACAGCAGGAUGGUAAAGGCCCAGCUUCAUAGCCAACAUCCUUUUGGGUGUCGCCAAACUUAGCCAAUGCACGGAGCACCUCAUGCGGUGAGCUCACUCGGGCAUCAGCACGUACGCCUGCGCCCACCCACUUUCCACCCACUUUCCACCCACCCACACCCCUAAAAGUCCAGCCCACUCCUUUGGGAGACAUAUUUAAUUUAAUUAAGGCCUGUCAACGCUAUUGAUUUUGGCACUUUCAAUUACGGCCCAGCAGUUUAUGGGCUGGGGGGGCCGUGGAUCUACUGAUCUGUGAUGAGGGGGCCCUAUCAGCGCAGCGCCACAUGGACGAGGAGCCUCUUCGUCUUCCUUAUGGCCUGCGCUGUCGGCAGGAGACGCUGACGUAUGGCCGCAGCCCCCCCACGGUUGGCCAUAAUGAAUCCCUCAUUAGACAGCUCUUUAUUGUUUAAUUUGUGCACUUCAUAAUCAAAUUGGGCAGAUUAAUUGCUACAGAAUUCAGAAAACAGAGUGAAAAAUAACCUCUCGGAAUUAUCUGCAGCUUUUAUGGUGCCCAAGGUUCUUUGGCUGGGGAAUAUUUGACACCCCCAGGAAUGACUUUUGGGGUGAUAAACUGUUAUUGGGAUGCUCUCUUUAGCCGCCGUGACUGCCAAGUGGAAGCUCAUUCAAAUGUUUCUUGCAGAUAUAUUUCCCCUCAAAGUCCUAAUUGCAAAAGUCAACCUUACAAAUUCCUGCCUUUAUUUACGGCGGUGGCCUUUUGCCUGUGGCGGCCAUUUGCCUGUGGCGGCCUUUUGCCAGUGGCGGUCUUUUGCCUGUGGCGUGUUUGUCAGCCCUUGCUGGUCACUGCUGCAAUUCACACUCGAGUGUGCAUGAGCGAGAUAAAAA